UUCUCUUCACCCUCUGAAAUGUUCACUCAAACGUCCCAUCUCUUUCUCUCUUCGAUGGAAUCACCUACUCGCCGAUGGUUCCACUAAUGCCUACUCUACAACUCAUAAACGCCCGUCGAUUACUUUUCUAACUUUAAGAUUCUUCUUCUCCGGCGACCGGAAACCUUCUCCGGUGACUUCAUAGACAGGAGUACCUCAUCUCUCUCUGUAUCUCUCUCUCUCUCGCUCUUGCUCUCCGCUUUUUCUCUAUAUAGAAACACACUGAUUUCAGCUCUUUGUUUUCUUUUUUCCUGCCUGCUCUAUAUUCGUUUAUCUUCGAUGCUUUGGACUUUUGUUUUAUUUGAAAUUUCGAUCGGAUCGAUCUUCGGAUUUGGAUUAUUCUUUGUUAGCUAGAAAAAGAUACGUGCAUCGAAGCUGAAUUAUUAUUAUUAUUAUUAUUUGGCUAUUUGAGCUUAGAUAGCUUCAAAAAUUGAGCUUAAUUUUGGUUGAGGUGAGAAAAGAAAAAGAGUAACGUCUAGCGUGAAGAUAAUUCGUGAAGUGCUACUAUGUUGGAUCUUAAUCUGAAUGCUGAAUCGUCCGAGUCUAUUCAGAACUCGGACUCUGUGGCUUUGAUGGACAAGUAUCAGUACCAGUACCCGGAAGGAUCGGGGACGUCAAAUUCUUCAAUCGUCAAUGCGGAUGUCUCCAGCAACGACGACUCGUGUUCUACACGCGCCUGCACUGGUGAUGCUAGUAAUAGCAGUAAGAACAAUACUAGUAGUAUGUUCACUUUCAACUUCGAUAUUUUGAAAGUGGGUGGUGGUGGUGGUGGAGGAAAUGAGAAUGAAACCGUCGCCGCUGUGACCAAGGAGUUUUUCCCGCUGAGUAAUGGGAAGGGAGUGGCUGGAGAUUACGGAAAUUUUUUUGGGCAAGGCUCCUCUAAGAACUGGAUCGAUCUCUCCUUCGAAAGGCGGCAUGAUAUUGGUGAUGGAGAGGUACGGAAGGUGCAGCCACCGCUGCAGCAGGUGAAGAAGAGCAGGAGGGGACCCAGGUCCAGGAGUUCGCAAUACAGAGGAGUCACCUUCUAUAGGAGGACUGGACGAUGGGAAUCUCAUAUCUGGGAUUGCGGGAAACAAGUCUAUUUGGGUGGAUUUGACACUGCUCAUGCUGCGGCAAGGGCCUAUGAUCGAGCUGCUAUCAAAUUUAGGGGUGUUGAUGCUGAUAUCAAUUUCAAUCUGAGCGACUACGAGGAGGAUCUGAAACAGAUGAAGAACCUGACCAAGGAAGAAUUUGUACACAUACUUCGUCGUCAGAGCACUGGUUUCUCAAGAGGGAGCUCAAAAUACCGAGGGGUGACACUGCAUAAGUGUGGCCGAUGGGAAGCAAGAAUGGGGCAAUUCCUUGGCAAAAAGUAUAUUUAUCUUGGGCUGUUCGACAGUGAAGUAGAAGCUGCAAGGUCCUAGUGAUCAUGAAUUACACUCUGAUACUCAAUUUAUUACCCUGAAUUCUCAUCCUCAAUAGCGUUCCAUCCAACAUAUCUCCCUUUUGAUUUUCUGGAAAUCAGGGCUUAUGACAAGGCAGCUAUCAAAUGUAACGGAAGGGAGGCAGUGACCAACUUUGAGCCCAGUACAUAUGAAGGGGAAAUGAUGUCCGAGGCUAGUAAUGAAGGUAGCGAACACAAUCUUGAUCUGAACUUGGGCAUAUCCCCUUCUUUGGAUGAUGGUCCCAGGGAAAAUGAGGGGCAUCUACAAUUUCACUUGGGCCCUUAUGACAUGGACCGCAAGAGUUUAAGGCAGGAGAACCCAACAGCUCUAAUGGUGGGUGAUCUGCCUUUCAAAGGGCCAGUAACUACAGAUCAACCAACAUCCAGGAACAAUGUCUAUGCUAGUUUCUUUCCUAAUGAGGAAGGAGCUCCAGAUAAGAGAAUUGAAUUAGGUUCUUCACAGGGACUCCCCAACUGGGCAUGGCAAAUGCACGGUCAUGUCACUGCUACCCCAAUGACAAUGUUCUCUACUGCAGCAUCAUCAGGAUUCUCUUUUUCAGCUACACCUCCCUCUGCUGCCACUCUUCCAUCGAAAACUCUCAACCAAGCAGCCCAAAAUUUAUGUUUUACGCCACCUGCUACCAUGACUCCUAGUAGCUCUCACUUCUAUUAUCCAGUGAAGCCACCACGGGCUCCACCAUAACUAUUCCCUCUGCACUGGAUGGAGGUAGAAAAAUUCAUAAUCAUGAUCGAUUGAAAAUAUUGAUUCGAUACAUUUGCAUUUACUCUUUUGAUAUAAUCAUUACUUUGUUGGAUAUGUAAAGAAUACCAAUCCCAUUUGCAAGCGUUUGUCAAGCAUUUUAACAUUCUUCUAAUGUGAUUUUGUUCCCGAAGAGGGAACUUAACUUUA